UUUAAAAAAAAUGUUUAAUCGAUUAUAUUAGAUGAACCGGUUUGUCAGGAAGGAUUUUUAGAGCCUCAUUUUUGAGGAGUUCAUACGCGACGUGGUCGUUUUUAAUUGGUUUGUGUUUUUUUGUCUUGGACACCCUCUCUCAUCUCACAAAACAUAUCUUUCUCUUGUUCAUUUUGGCCGCACGAUUUUCCUCUCUUCCUGUGGGAUUCCAGCUGAGCAAUCGGAGAUUUUGAAGACGAAAUCGAGACUGUUAUCUCCAUUAAAUCAUCCACCAGAAAUUCUUCGUCGGAGGGGGAAAAGGAACCAACCGGAGAAGAUGAUUCGAAAGUAUGGUUCAAUAAUGUGCCACAUACACGCUUAGUGGAAGACAAAGGUGGUCAAAACUGGAUAAGAAGAGAGAAAGACAAGUUUGUUUUCCCAGGGGGUGGAACUCAGUUUAUCCAUGGAGGUGAUCAGUAUUUAGACCAGAUCUCUCAGAUUGAAUUUUGCAGAUGAUUCCUGGCAUUACAUUUGGAACAUUCACCUGUGUUGCCCUGGAUAUUGGCUGUGGUGUGGCAAGCUUUGGUGCCUUUUUGCAUUGGAGCGGGGCUUGCCUGCAAUGGUGGCUGUCUUUGCCUCACGGAGGUUGUUGUAUCCAAGCCAAUCUUUUGAGAUGAUCCAUUGUUCCAGAUGCAGAAUUAAUUGGACCCGCGAUGGUUUAUCUCUCUUCUUUCGUUACUCCAGUUGGAUUGAUGAAACCUCUGGUUCUGAUUUUGCUCAAGCAAACAAUGAUCCGGGAUGUUGCAUAUGUUUUGCAAAGUACAAAGAGAAAGAAGAAGUGAGAAGCCAUGUCCAAUCAGCUGAACAACACAACCAAGAACACAACCAAGACGUGAACUCUCUCGGACUCAUUUCGUCUCGCAAAACUUUGAAAGCUGUCGACAUUCUCAAGCUAAUGUCGACGACGUUCCUCGUCGCUAUAUGUCAGGCGGUUGAAGAGUUUGAUAAGAUAUUUACUGCAAUGUGUGAAGGUAAAAUUAUUGAUCCAUUGAUGGAUUGUCUCAAAGAAUGGAACGGAGCUCCUGUUCCGAUUAGCUAAAAGAGCGCAUUCCUCUAUUUUUUUUCUUUUAAUUUUGUUGCUUUUGCUGUUUUUUUUUUUAUAUAUAUGUUUGAAUUUGAGUGCUUUACCAAGUGAAUGAUUGUAAUGUGAAUUGUGUAACUUUGUAUGAUAUAUAUAAUAUGAAUUACUUGUAAAACUCCUAACU